rnacentral:rRNA from 1 species
GACGAACGCUGGCGGCGUGCUUAACACAUGCAAGUCGAACGGAAAGGCCCUGCUUUUGUGGCGUGCUCGAGUGGCGAACGGGUGUGUAACACGUGAGUAACCUGCCCUUGACUUUGGGAUAACUUCAGGAAACUGGGGCUAAUACAGGAUAUGAGCUCCUUCUGCAUGGUGGGGGUUGGAAAGUUUCGGCGGUUGGGGAUGGACUCGCGGCUUAUCAGCUUGUUGGUGGGGUAGUGGCUUACCAAGGCUUUGACGGGUAGCCGGCCUGAGAGGGUGACCGGCCACAUUGGGACUGAGAUACGGCCCAGACUCCUACGGGAGGCAGCAGUGGGGAACAUUGCACAAUGGGCGGAAGCCUGAUGCAGCAACGCCGCGUGCGGGAUGACGGCCUUCGGGUUGUAAACCGCUUUCGCCUGUGACGAAGCGUGAGUGACGGUAAUGGGUAAAGAAGCAACGGCUAACUACGUG